UUAAAAACUGCAGCCUACAAAAAACA
rnacentral:piRNA from 1 species